CCUACGGGUGGCAGCAGUGGGGAAUAUUGCACAAUGGGGGGAACCCUGAUGCAGCGACGCCGCGUGAGUGAAGAAGUAUUUCGGUAUGUAAAGCUCUAUCAGCAGGGAAGAAAAUGACGGUACCUGACUAAGAAGCCCCGGCUAACUACGUGCCAGCAGCCGCGGUAAUACGUAGGGGGCAAGCGUUAUCCGGAUUUACUGGGUGUAAAGGGAGCGCAGACGGCUGUGCAAGUCUGGAGUGAAAGGCGGGGGCCCAACCCCCGGACUGCUCUGGAAACUGUAAAGCUGGAGUGCAGGAGAGGUAAGCGGAAUUCCUAGUGUAGCGGUGAAAUGCGUAGAUAUCAGGAGGAACAUCGGUGGCGAAAGCGCUUUACUGGACCAUUAUUGACGCUGAGGAACGAAAGCCAGGGGAGCAAAUGGGAUUAGAUACCCCAGUAGUC
rnacentral:rRNA from 1 species